rnacentral:rRNA from 1 species
UACGUAGGGCGCAAGCGUUAUCCGGAAUUAUUGGGCGUAAAGAGCUCGUAGGCGGUCUGUCGCGUCGGAUGUGAAAACCCAGGGCUCAACCCUGGGCCUGCAUUCGAUACGGGCAGACUAGAGUUCGGUAGGGGAGACUGGAAUUCCUGGUGUAGCGGUGAAAUGCGCAGGUAUCAGGAGGAACACCGGUGGCGAAGGCGGGUCUCUGGGCCGAAACUGACGCUGAGGAGCGAAAGCGUGGGGAGCAAACAGG